GCCCGGGUGGUCUAGUGGUAUGAUUCUCGCUUAGGGAUAACCCAAGCAUAUCUGCGAGAGGUCCCGCGUUCGAUCCGCGGCUCGGGCC
rnacentral:tRNA from 1 species